rnacentral:rRNA from 1 species
ACGGGGUGCAGCAGGCGCGAAAACUUUCCAAUGCACGCAAGUGUGAGAAGGAAAUCCAGAGUGCUUAAGAUUAAUCUUAGGCUUUUGCCAUGGGUAAAUACCAUGGAGAAUAAGUGGAGGGCAAUACCUGUGCCAGCCGCCGCGGUAACCCAGGAUCCACAAGUGGCAACCGCUUUUAUUUGGCCUAAAGCGUCCGUAGCUGGUUUUGUAAAUCUUCUGUGAAAUUUCGUGGCUUAACCACGAAGCGCGCAGGAGACACUGCAUCACUUGGGACCGGGAGGCGUGAGGAGUAUUUUUGGGGGAGCGGUAAAAUGUUAUAAUCCCAAAAGGACUACCUGUGGCGAAGGCGCCUCACGAGAACGGAUCCGACAGUGAGGGACGAAAGCUAGGGGAGCAAAACGGAUUAGAUACCCGAGUAGUCCUAGCCGUAAACUCUGCAAGCUAGGUGUCGCGUAAUCUUCGGGAUUGCGCGGUGUCGUAGUGAAGAUGUUAAGCUUGCCGCCUGGGAAGUAUGGUCGCAAGGCUGAAACUUAAAGGAAUUGGCGGGGGAGCAC